UACAGAGGUCUCAAGCGUUGUUCGGAUUCAUUGGGCGUAAAGGGCGCGUAGGCGGCGGGGUAAGUCUGGUGUGAAAUCUCGGAGCUCAACUCCGAAAUUGCACUGGAUACUGCUCUGCUUGAGGGUUGGAGAGGAGAUCGGAAUUCACGGUGUAGCAGUGAAAAUGCGUAGAUAUCGUGAGGAAGACCAGUGGCGAAGGCGGGGUCUCUGGACAGUUCCUGACGCUGAGGCACGAAGGCCAGGGGAGCAAACGGG
rnacentral:rRNA from 1 species